rnacentral:lncRNA from 1 species
AAAGUUGUGGAUUCUUCCCAGAUAGUGGAGUAGGAGACCUCAUUGAUAAAUCUCUCAUAACUAUUUAUUAUGGACGUGUGUGGAUGCAUGAUUUGAUUCAAGAAAUGGGAAGAGAAAUUGUUCAUAAAGAAUCUCGUGAAAAUCCAGGGCUACGUAGGAGAAUAUGGCUUGACAAGGAUGUCUCUCACAUUCAAGUGAAGAACAUGGUAAGCAAUACUUUGUAGUUACAGACUAUAUUCCAUUCAAUAACUUAAAAUUUUGAGAUAUCUGAUUUUAUGUUUGUCUCUUGUUUCUUAUAUACCUUCGAUUGUCAGGAAGCAAAUGUUAAGGCUAUAGUCUUGCAUUCCUGGAAACAAGAGGAACAAUUGAAUGCUAAACUCUUCUCCAGAAUGAAAGAGCUAAGAUUACUCAUACUCCGAGAUGUACCCGCGUCUCAGGAUAUUGAAUAUCUUUCCAAUGAAUUAAGGUAUUUGGAAUGGUAUAAAUGUCCUUGUAAAUCUUUUCCAUCAAAUUUUCAACCAGGUAAACUUGUCGAGCUCCAUAUGAAAUGCAGCAAUAUUGAACAACUAUGGAAGAGAUCAAUUAAAGUAAGUGUUUCUUUAUUUCUUUAUUUUAGUGUCUAUUACAAUGUCAUGAUAUAUAUGUAUAAUACAUUUUUUUUUGGUAUAUCUUGUUACAGCCCGUUAAUGAGUUGUUGAAGGUCAUUGAUCUUAGUUACUCAAGAAGUCUAAUCAAGACCCCGGACUUUCAAGGGCUCCCGAAUCUUGAGGAGUUGAAUCUUGAAGGGUGUGAGAGCCUGCGUGAAGUACACCAAUCUAUCGGAGUUAUGAAAAGGCUUGUUUUUCUGAACCUGAAGAACUGUAGAAACCUUGUGGCUCUUCCGAGUAGCAUGUGUAACUUGAAGUCCCUUCAGACUCUUAUCUUGAGUGGUUGUUCAAAACUUAUAAAACUUCCAGAUAGGUGGGAGGAUAUGACCUGUUUGGAGAAGCUUGAUGCAACUGGGAUUGGUAUGGAACAAUUGGAAUUAGCUGAACAAUGGGAUUUCCAUCUCCCACCAUGGCUGAUGUCUUGGACUUGGAAGAAUCCACAUCCUAUGGCAAUUGUGUUUUCUUCAGGUUUACCCGCUUUGAAAGAACUAAAUGCAAGUUACUGCAAGCUCCCAGAACGAGCAAUUCCCAAUGACCUCAGUGUCUCCUUCCCCUUCCUGGAACGUCUCGAUCUAAGUGGAAAUAAUUUUGUAAGCUUACCAUCAAGCAUCAGUAAUCUUUCCCAUCUUGAUUCUCUCGAAGUAUCUAAUUGCAAGAGGCUUCAGUUAUUGCCAGAUCUUCCAUCGACAAUUACAAGUCUACAUGCCAAUAAUUGCACUUCUCUGGAAAAUCUUCCAAAUGUAUCUGAAAAACAAAAUAAUCCGGUGAAUAUUUUGAUGGAAUUCUCAAAUUGCUCCAAAUUGAAUGAUAAUUAUCAAGGGAAUAUCAAAGCGGCAUUUACAUGGUUGAAAAGUCACCUUCUUUUUCUUCUAGCAAGUCGUUUGGUGCUUAGCAUGCGACAUGAAAGAUGUUGCCCUGAGGUAUCUCUCUCAAAUCAUUCUUUCCUUUCCUUUUUAUCCCAAUGAACUUUUUUGUGCGUGUCAAGUACUAAUAAAAUAUAGGUAAUAAUUGUUCAUGCAGAAAGGGUACUAUCUAGGUGAGCCACAUUCGCUCAUGUUCCUUGACAUCUCUAUGCGGUUCCCUGGGAGCGAAAUUCCUGAAUGGUUCAACUGUCAGAGUUCCAGCAAUCCGCUGACACUACUCCUACCUCCAUGUGAAAAGUGGUGGAACAUUGCAGGUUUUGUUAUUUGUGUUGUGAUUUCAGGAAAAGCAGUUUAUGACUGUGUUGAGGGGUUAAAUUAUGAAGAUGCUUUUGAACUCUUUUGCUCAAAAGCCAUCAAGAAUAAUUCUCAGGAGGAGGAAUACCGAGAGCUUUGUCAUGAGUUCGUAGAAUAUGCCAGCGGCCUCCCUUUAGCUCUUAAAGUUUUAGGUUCAUCUUUGUUUGGUCAAUCUGUGAAGGAAUGGAACAAGACAUUAGAUAAAUUGAAAAAAAUUCCAAAUGAAGAAAUUCUAAGCAAGCUUCAAUUAAGUUAUGAUGGGCUUGACAGAACAUCACAAGAAAUAUUCCUUGAUAUUGCAUGUUUCUUCAAAGGAAUGGAGACAGAUUAUGUGUUAAAAGUACUAGAAAGUUGUGGAUUCUUCCCAGAUAGUGGAGUAGGAGACCUCAUUGAUAAAUCUCUCAUAACUAUUUGUUGUGGAAGUGUGUGGAUGCAUGAUUUGAUUCAAGAAAUGGGAAGAGAAAUUGUUCAUAAAGAAUCUCGUGAAAACCCAGGGCUACGUAGUAGAAUAUGGCUUGACAAGGAUGUCUCUCACAUUCAAGUGAAGAACAUGG